rnacentral:rRNA from 1 species
AUUGAACGCUGGCGGCAUGCUUUACACAUGCAAGUCGAACGGCAGCGCGGGGCAACCUGGCGGCGAGUGGCGCACGGGUGAGUAAUAUAUCGGAACGUACCCAGAAGUGGGGGAUAACGUAGCGAAAGUUACACUAAUACCGCAUACGAUCUACGGAUGAAAGUAGGGGACCGCAAGGCCUUAUGCUUUUGGAGCGGCCGAUAUCUGAUUAGCUAGUUGGUGAGGUAAAGGCUCACCAAGGCGACGAUCAGUAGCUGGUCUGAGAGGACGACCAGCCACACUGGAACUGAGACACGGUCCAGACUCCUACGGGAGGCAGCAGUGGGGAAUUUUGGACAAUGGGCGCAAGCCUGAUCCAGCAAUGCCGCGUGAGUGAAGAAGGCCUUCGGGUUGUAAAGCUCUUUUGUCAGGGAAGAAACGGUAGAGGCUAAUAUCCUUUGCUAAUGACGGUACCUGAAGAAUAAGCACCGGCUAACUACGUG